AGAGAGAGACAUGCGCGCAUAUCAAUAAGCGGAGGAAAAGAAACUAACAAGGAUUCCCCUAGUAACGGCGAGUGAAGCGGGAAGAGCUCAAAUUUGAAAUCUUCAAGGUCUUUACCUUGACGAAUUGUAGUUUAAAGAAGUGUUUUCUGUUGGAGUUUUGGUAAAAGUUCUUUGGAAUAGGACAUCAUAGAGGGUGAGAAUCCCGUAUUUGACCAUUUAUUUCAGCUGUGUGAUACACUUUCAAAGAGUCGGAUUGUUUGGGAAUGCAGUCCAAAAUGGGUGGUAAAUUUCAUCUAAAGCUAAAUAUUGGCGAGAGACCGAUAGCGAACAAGUACCGUGAGGGAAAGAUGAAAAGAACUUUGAAAAGAGAGUUAAACAGUACGUGAAAUUGUCAAAAGGGAAGCGUUUGACACCAGUGUUGUUUUUCCGAAAAUCAAUUAAAAAUGGAUUCAUGCUAGGUAGUAUUGACUUCAUCGGCUUGCUGCUUAGUUUUGGGUUCUUUUUUGAUGCACUUUUCGGUUAACAAGUCAACAUCAAUUUCUUUUGUUGUAAAAGGUUAAGAGGAAGGUGGCUUUACUUUCGGGUAAAGUGUUUAUAGCCUUUUAACUCUGCAAUCGGAGAGAUUGAGGUCUGCAGCGUAGAUCCUUCGGGGUUAGAUACAUUUGUGCUAAGUUAUAGCUUUUCAUAGACAACUUGUUGACUAUGUUAAGUCUUGUAAUUUACUCGCAGAUGCUAUUUUACCUACGCUUAGGAUGUUGACAGCAGUAUAGACUGU
rnacentral:rRNA from 1 species